GGAGAGCUGCUUCCUCAGCCCUGAAGGCCAGAGCCGCAGCUCCUCUCUUUAGGGCUCCGCCUCAAAAGAGGGAAAGAGAAAGCGGAGGUAGAUGACAGCUCAGUCCAAGACAGAACUGGCUGUCCUGUGAGGUGGUGAGUUCUCCAUCCCUGGGGUUUUGUGGCAGAUCUCAAUGAGUCACAGCUGGGCUUAGAAAGGGCACGUGAACAUCUACCAGGUAUGGCACGAGAAGGCUUUUAAAAUCCCAAGAAUCCAGGAUGAUAUGAGAUUUGGAACAAAGCUCAGAUCCAGGCAAUCCAAACUCCCAGUUGCUAGAAGGGGCCUCCAUCUACUUGUUUUGUAAAUUCCCUCUGCUUAUUUUAUAAGCUCAGAGAUGUUAGUUGGCUUGCCCAAGAACACACAGCAAGUUGGGGACAGAUGGAAACCAGAGUCCAAGUCUCCCAGUGCUGUCCUGGUGCCUUCCCAUUCCCUGUGCUCCAAAAUACCUCAGAGCCCCACCAGCCUGAACCCCAGAGGGCUCAAAUAUUUUGACCAUGCACCAAUGUCACUAAAACCCUUUGAACACACUCCACUAUAUUUCUUUAUUUAGAUUUUAUGCAUGUGCUAGUGUCCUAGUUUAUCACGAACAUCAUAAAACAUACUCCCCAAAAAAGGUCCAGAAAUUAGCAAAGGAUAAAAUCGAAAAAUUUAGAAAUUCUAACAUUGUCAUCCUGAGGUCACCUUGGACAUUACCCCACUUUGCAGACCCCUGCUAACCCACGACUCACCAGCCCCAGCUCCCUGAUUCUGGGCCUAUGCAUUUCUCACUGCCCUGCCCCAUGCACAAUCCUGCCAUUAGCAUCCCCUCCAGCCACCCCUUCCAAACAGCUGGGGACCCCAGGAAGGGGAAGACAGGGGCACUGGCACAGCCCAACUCCUUGCCAGGUGAUCCUCCCCACAACCUGGCAAAAGGGCUAUUUUUAAUACCUUCACCCCAUUUCCCAGAUGAAGAAAGUGAGGCUCAGAGAGGUCCUGUGCCUUGCCCAUGGCCUCCCAGCUGGUCAUCUGUAGGUCCAGGAUUCAAAACCUAGCCAAGUCCCUCCACCACCUGCCCAGCAUCUCCCGGCCUCCUGGACCUGUCUGAGGCCUGUCCCCUCUCCCACACCCACGUGGGUGCCUCCCUCAGAGGGGUCAGAGGCACCCCAUUUCCUCUCCCCUCCCCCAGCAGGAGCACCGAGCAGCAACAGGCACCAGAGUGUUGCUACUUUUGCAAAAACCACCUGCACUUAAAAACCAGGCUCACCCUGCCCCAUCUCUCCUUCUCAACAACCCUUUGGCAGGGAGAGGAGACAUUGCUUUGUCCCCAUUUGCCAGACGACAGCCCUGAGGCUCAUAGAAGGCAGGGACCAGCCCAAGGUCAUGGAGUGAGGCAACCUCAGAGCCUGACUGGACCCUGUUGGGGCCCCAAGCUUCCACAGAAGGUACCAGAAGAUGCCGGGCCCUGACCCAGGAGAAAGGGAAUAGGCUCAGCUCCCAGAACCCAAGUGGCUCCCUAGGACACGGGAUGGAGAGGAACCCAUAUUUAUCGGGUACCUGCUGUGUGCUCAGACCUGUACACAAGCUUGCAUGGCAAUGUCCCCAAACCCUGCAACAUCCCCCCAUUUUACAGUUGAGGAGACAGAGGCUGAAAGAGGAGAGCUCACAUGUCCUGUGUCAUGUGUCUCAGCUGGGCAGUGAGCCCUGCUGCCUCUGCUCCCAGGGCCCGGGCUCCCCUCAGGGCUAGGCUGGCUGCCCAGGGACUCGGCUCCUGACCUCUCCAGCCAUCCACCCCCCGCCCCCAGCAGCCACACCCCAGACGCCCAGCACUCAGGAGACAACAGCUGGGGCACCGGAGGCCUCACUGCUGCGUGGCCCUGGCCAGGUCCUGGCUUCUCCCUGGCCUCAGUUUCCCCCUCUGGUCAAUGAGGAGAGUUACCCCCAUUUGCACUCGGGGCCAUGGGGAGGGCUGAACGCUGGAGGGUCAGGGGAGCGGAACCGCUACACACUAUAGGAUUAGGAUGUCACACCCAGGCUUCCCAGGGUCUCCUGGCCCAGCCGCCCCAGGGCCUGCCCCUACCCCCAGAAGGCCUCACUGCCCCACCCAAGUCCUAACUGAGAGCCGCUGGAAAUUCCCGGGAAUCACCUGGCUGACCUACAGCGUCCGCUGGGAGAGGCCCGGCAACUCCGAGAGUCUAGAUUUCCAGGCCCCCAGCCCUGACCUUCCCCUCGGGCCCCUGGUUUCCGCCUGGACACAGCGCUGUCCUCUCCCUGCGCUCUGAGAGCCCGGCCGGCCACGACAGGCACAGGGCUUGUCUCCUGCCACGAUGCCCGGACAGGCAGACCCGCUCGCUCACCUGUCCCUCCGUGCAGCGUCUUCCCCCCACCCAGCCCCGUUCUUAGUGCUGCACUGCUGAGGCCGUGAAGUUAGGGCUGGGGGAGCCGUGGUCUGAUUCGGGGCCCCACCGAGCUCUGUGCCCCUGAGCAAGCCACUAGCCUCUCUGGGCCUCGGCUCCUCGUCUGAGGAAGGGGCGACCGCUGGACCUGCCUCCCUUUCCUUUCCUGGUGUCUCUGAGGAGCAACCCCCAGCUUGAGCUAAGAGAAGGGGCCGGGGUCGUAGGACGGGGAGGUGGGGGAAGGUGGGGCAGUGGGGGCAAUGUUGAUACGGCCGGCGAUCACCGCGGCGAGGGUGCCAAGGCGGACUGUCAUGGAGGAGGCGCUGCUCAGGAGGGACUGCAACAGGGACCACGCUGAGUGGGCGUGGCUGUCGUGACGUUGCUGGAGUUGGCCGGGUGGUGACAGUGAGGCCCACGGGGUGGUGACGACAGCGGACACGGCAGGGGUGCUGGCGAGGGAGGCGGCGCCAGCGGGCACGCCGGGAGGCGGGGGUUGACUGCCAGGGUCCUGCAGUGGAGAUGCCGCUGCUGACGGUGAUGACAGAUGGGGGAGAUGACGGUGGGGGCGUCCUGAAAGGAUGGUGACACCAGAUCCCCCGAUUCUGGGGGUUUGAGGCCAGAUCCCUCUGCAGGGGAGUGGCCCCACUCUGUCCCCCUCCUGGAGGCUCAGACCCCAUCCCAGAAGCAGGCAGGGAGAGACCCACGCUCCACGAGUUUCGGGGUGAAAGUCACAGGAAGGACGCAGCCGGCAGUGAGCACCCCACUCUCCGCCACACGGUGCAUGGACACCUCCCUGUCCGUCCCAUAAGUCGAGAGAAGAACCCACCACCCGGCAGCGUGGUUGUGAGAACUAAACGAGGGAACGUACGUCCACCGCCGGAGCUGGCGGCUGAGAAAGACUGAGCCGCAGAGGCGCUUGCGUGGACCCCAGACGAGGGGCCCAGGGCCGCGGCCGCUCUGUCUGUAAUGGCCCCCAGGUGGAAACAGCCCAGUCGCCCUCCCACAGGAAAACGGGCGAAUACACGGGGCGGGGUCGUACGACGAUGAUGAGCUCUACAGCAAUGGAAAAACUGAGCUCACUGCCCACAGCCACACGCGCACAGCUCACAAGCCUGCUGUUGGGAGAGAUGCCGCACGCCACAGAACACAUGCUACAGAAUUCGCCUCUGUGUGGUUCUAGAGCUACGCGUACCCAAGGACCCACACGCGUGGGGGAAGUCCGUGGGGGAGGGAGCGACAGGGAGGGUCCAGGGCCUCUGGGUGCUGGUCCUGCCUGAUUCCUGGGUCUGGUGGAGGCUGCACGGCUGUGUUCACUUGGCACGAGUCCAUCGAGAUGUUUGCUCGUGACACCCACACGCGUCUAUAGGUCCGUCAUUCACCAAUCAAUAAAAGGUCCACAAAAACAAGGUGAAAUAGAGAUGCUGGCACCUACUGGAUGCCAGGCGGGAUCGCAAAGAUGAAUCAGGUCCAGCCAAGCCCUGGAUGGACGUCCAGGACGGGGGACAGGACACACAGGGACCCAGCACGCAGGGCUCCGGGAAGCUCCAGGAGCUCAGGGUCCAACGGUGGCUCAAGGCAGGCUUCUCAGAGGAGUGGGUCUCAACGCUUUCAGCCGCAGGGCGGCGGGAAGGGUGCCACAGGCGGAGCAAACGGCAUGAGCAAAGGCCAGCGCGGGCGAGACACACUCGGGAAACUGCAGGAUGCUCCUCUCCGGGAGCCUCGGGGUGGGGCCACCCGCGUGCCCAGCGCGCAGUAGGCUCCAGUCAAGGCAGCAGUUGGCCGGGAGAACAGGGGUGGGGACUUGGGGGCGGAGGAGCUGGGAGAGCACUCCAGGGAAGGGACAGCUCCUGCCCUGGCCCGGGAAGCACAGGGGGUUCAGAUCGCUUGGUGAGACGUCGCCGCAGCACAGGAAGUGUGAGGACUGGGGCACCAGCAGCUGGCUCCAGCCCGGGGCCUCCUCAGAGCUCCCCCCACCUCCUACCCCCACCCCUCCUCACCCACUCCCCAGCAAGGCCCAGCCGCUGCCCUUCCAGGCCUGCCCCCAGGAGAGAAGACAGGGAAGCAGGGCUCUGCCUGAAGGAACAGGGCGCUGAGGGUGACAUUCCUGCCCAGUGACUCCAGACAGCAGAGACGUCCCGGCCGGAGAGUGUCCCAUCAACUGUGCCUUCAUGGGCCGCCGUCUGGGGGCUCAGAGCUGGCCUCCCACCUCCACCAGGGCCCCGACACGCUCCACUUCCUGAAUAUCCGGGAAGCACCCUGCACGCCCCAGCCAUUCCCCAAGCCAUCACUUCCCUGCUUAUCUUCAGAGCAAAAACCCACAACAAUAAAUUGUAUUACUAAUUA